AUUGAACGCUGGCGGCAUGCUUUACACAUGCAAGUCGAACGGUAACAGGUUAAGCUGACGAGUGGCGAACGGGUGAGUAAUGCAUCGGAACGUGCCCGAUCGUGGGGGAUAACGCAGCGAAAGCUGCGCUAAUACCGCAUACGAUCUGAGGAUGAAAGCGGGGGACCGUAAGGCCUCGCGCGAUCGUCGGGGCCGAUGUCAGAUUAGGUAGUUGGUGGGGUAAAGGCCCACAAAGCCGACGAUCUGUAGCAGGUCUGAGAGGGCGACCAGCCACACUGGGACUGAGACACGGCCCAGACUCCUACGGGAGGCAGCAGUGGGGAAUUUUGGACAAUGGGCGAAAGCCUGAUCCAGCAAUGCCGCGUGCAGGAAGAAGGCCUUCGGGUUGUAGACUGCUUUUGUACGGAGCGAAAAGGUCCUUUCUAAUACAAGGGGCUCAUGACGGUACCGUAAGAAUAAGCACCGGCUAACUACGUGCCAGCAGCCGCGGUAAGAC
rnacentral:rRNA from 1 species